AACGAACGCUGGCGGCAUGCCUAACACAUGCAAGUCGAACGAGACCUUCGGGUCUAGUGGCGCACGGGUGCGUAACGCGUGGGAACCUGCCCUUAGGUUCGGAAUAACUCCCCGAAAGGGGUGCUAAUACCGGAUAAUGUCUUCGGACCAAAGAUUUAUCGCCUUUGGAUGGGCCCGCGUUGGAUUAGCUAGUUGGUAGGGUAAAAGCCUGCCAAGGCGACGAUCCAUAGCUGGUCUGAGAGGAUGAUCAGCCACACUGGGACUGAGACACGGCCCAGACUCCUACGGGAGGGAGCAGUGGGGAAUAUUGGACAAUGGGCGAAAGCCUGAUCCAGCAAUGCCGCGUGAGUGAUGAAGGCCUUAGGGUUGUAAAGCUCUUUUACCCGGGAUGAUAAUGACAGUACCGGGAGAAUAAGCUCCGGCUAACUCCGUG
rnacentral:rRNA from 1 species